GACAGAGGGGGCAAGCGUUGCUCGGAAUUACUGGGCGUAAAGGGCGCGUAGGCGGGAUGGCAAGUCGGUCGUGAAAUCCCUCGGCUCAACUGAGGAUCGUCGAUCGAUACUGCCGUUCUUGAGGAUUGCAGAGGAGAGCUGGAAUUCCCGGUGUAGCGGUGAAAUGUGUAGAGAUCGGGAGGAACGACCGGUGGCGAAGGCGGGUCUCUGGGCAAUUCCUGACGCUGAGGCGCGAAAGCGUGGGGAGCAAACGGG
rnacentral:rRNA from 1 species